rnacentral:rRNA from 1 species
UACGGAGGAUCCAAGCGUUAUCCGGAAUCAUUGGGUUUAAAGGGUGCGUAGGCGGUUUGGUAAGUCAGUGGUGAAAGCCCAUCGCUCAACGGUGGAACGGCCAUUGAUACUGCAAGACUUGAAUUACUAGGAAGUAACUAGAAUAUGUAGUGUAGCGGUGAAAUGCUUAGAUAUUACAUGGAAUACCAAUUGCGAAGGCAGGUUACUACUAGUGGAUUGACGCUGAUGGACGAAAGCGUGGGGAGCGAACAGG